AGAGGGGCAGAGAGCACGUGGGAACACAUCAUGAUAAGGCUUUGGAGAUCCAGGAACCAGCAGCACCAUCUCAGGAGCACAUCUAUCCAGCCACCUGCCUUCAACACAUCAUUCUGCCUCUCUGGGCCAUAUUACAUUAAGACCUGAGUCUCAGGACUAUUGUCUCACUAUGGACUGAACAGAAACUGACUUGAUGGUCGAUGCUGAGGGCUGACGGACAUCUGGCUGGCAGCCACCCUUCCCUGAAUCCCACUGAUGUCAUGUGUGAGGAGUCUCAGAGCACCAUGAUUUAAG
rnacentral:lncRNA from 1 species